UACGGGGGGGGCAAGCGUUGUUCGGAAUUACUGGGCGUAAAGGGCUCGUAGGCGGCCAACUAAGUCAGACGUGAAAUCCCUCGGCUUAACCGGGGAACUGCGUCUGAUACUGGAUGGCUUGAGGUUGGGAGAGGGAUGCGGAAUUCCAGGUGUAGCGGUGAAAUGCGUAGAUAUGCGGAGGAACACCGAUGGCGAAGGCAAUCCCCUGGGCCUGUACUGACGCUCAUGCACGAAAGCGUGGGGAGCAAACAGG
rnacentral:rRNA from 1 species